rfam:Dipodomys ordii contig_18468, whole genome shotgun sequence.
GGGAAUGUGGCUCAGUGGUAGAGUGCUUGCUUCGUAUGCAUAAGGCUCUGGGUUUGAUUCCUCAGCACCA